AGAGUUUGAUCCUGGCUCAGGACGAACGCUGGCGGCGUGCCUAACACAUGCAAGUCGAGCGGAGACAGUGAGUAGCUUGCUAUGAGCUGUUUUAGCGGCGGACGGGUGAGUAACGCGUGAGCAACCUUUCCCAGACAGGGGAAUAACACACCGAAAGGUGUACUAAUACCGCAUAAGACCACGGGAUCACAUGGUUCUGGGGUAAAAGAUUUAUCGGUUUGGGGUGGGCUCGCGUCCGAUUAGGUAGUUGGUGAGGUAACGGCCCACCAAGCCGACGAUCGGUAGCCGACCUGAGAGGGUGAUCGGCCACAUUGGGACUGAGACACGGCCCAAACUCCUACGGGAGGCAGCAGUGGGGAAUAUUGGGCAAUGGGGGGAACCCUGACCCAGCAACGCCGCGUGGAGGAAGAAGGUUUUCGGAUCGUAAACUCCUGUCCUUGGAGACGAGUAGAAGACGGUAUCCAAGGAGGAAGCCCCGGCUAACUACGUGCCAGCAGCCGCGGUAAUACGUAGGGGGCAAGCGUUGUCCGGAAUAAUUGGGCGUAAAGGGCGCGUAGGCGGCUCGGUAAGUCUGGAGUGAAAGUCCUGCUUUUAAGGUGGGAAUUGCUUUGGAUACUGUCGGGCUUGAGUGCAGGAGAGGUUAGUGGAAUUCCCAGUGUAGCGGUGAAAUGCGUAGAGAUUGGGAGGAACACCAGUGGCGAAGGCGACUAACUGGACUGUAACUGACGCUGAGGCGCGAAAGUGUGGGGAGCAAACAGGAUUAGAUACCCUGGUAGUCCACACUGUAAACG
rnacentral:rRNA from 1 species